rnacentral:lncRNA from 1 species
AUUAUUAUUUUCUCCUUUGUCCUUAAGUUGUAUGCUUCACUAUAGAUAUAUCCCUACAUUUUUCUUGCCCUAGAAUAUAUUGUUUUUAGCAGCAAAGGAGCUAUCAAAGUUGUGCAUUGAUAUUUGAAGAAUUUGCAAUGUGUACAAGUUGGAAGAAUUAGGCAAAAUGAAUGUUUCAUUUCAUGAAUAAAGAUGGGCGUUUUGAAUACAGAAUUGUGAUUUUCAAAUUCCAAAGAAUGAAGCGUUAUUUUAAAGAACACUCAUAAUUAUAGAAAUUGUAUGCUCAAACUACCACAGAAUUUGCGAUUUUUCACAGUUUGCAAUACAUGAUGAAAUUAUACAAUAGGCACUUUUUGAACCUCAAAUUUUCGCAAUAGACAGUUUUAAGUAAGAAAGAUUUUCAAGUACUUGAAAAAUUUCAGUUACAUAAUGUUGAUUUUUAUUAGUAAAUGAACCACUUAAAUAAUCUUGUCCAUGAAUUCACUCCUUUUAGCAAAUUUAUCUUCUUCAUUGCUUUUACCAAAUAUUACAAAGUUUUGUAAACCCAAUUUUGUUCUUCUGUUGAUCAUGUUGCUAAAAUUCAAUAUCAUGUGUGCAAGAGUUUCUCUCUUCUUGUACAUUAAAAACAAAUUACAAUGUGAAGAUGCCCAAAAUCUCUAUUUCUUUUGAAAUAAAGCCACAUAAGGCGUUGAUUUGUCUUUUUGUUUUGUGAAGUACCAAACUCGGUUAAAAGUGAGAAUACAAUUCAAAAAUGGUUUUAAAAAAAAAUUACCAUAAGAGAAAUAUGAUUGAAUCUCAUUUGCUUUGUACCUUGUUAUGCAUGGAGGUUUUUCAUUUUAUUAUUAUUAUUAUUAUUAUUUUCCUCCCACUUGGCUUGACUUUAAGUUUUUAAUAUGAAAUCCAUAUGUUGUACUCAAUUUGUUUAAUAAGGUACAAUUUAAUUGAAAGAAAGAGUUGUAUGCUUUUAAAAUUGUGAUACGAAUUUUAUGGUUAUAAAUUUAAUUGCUAUUAUUUGAGCUUGUGAUCUGUAUCUCAGUAAAUGAUGAGUUUUUAAUGAAAAAAAUAAAAAUAAAACCUUAAGAGCAAAAACGCUUCAAUUGUUUACUCAUUUGUAAUUCUAUGAUGGUAUAAAUGAUGAGAAAUUCAAUUUCAAAAUUUUAGAUGUAAAUUUAUUUCAUUUUUCAUACAUAUAAAUGUUAUUUAUUCAAAGAUUAGAAAUAAAAUUAUUAUGUGAAUGUGCAAAUCUCCUCUACUCUUCCAAGUUCUCAAUUCACUAGAAUUCAAGAGAUUAGACAUGUCUCUUCAUUGACCUUUCUUCACAACUAAACCCUAGAAUUAUAACACUCUUCUCAUGCCUAACCUCUUAUCAUUCAUGUCUUUCCUAUUCCACAAAUAUUAAGAAUGGUUAGCUCCUCGAGCAUUAAUUUCUCAUCACAAUUGACUUAAUUAAUUUAUUUUUCUUCUUCUUUAUUCACAUAUUUCUUCACAAGAUACGGAGGAUGGAAUGUAUGUCGAGAUAUUCAACCAUCAUGAAUGAAACAAACAAAGGGUCCACUUGUUAGAAGAACACAUCACCAUGAGAAAGUAAGCCAAAAUUAUAUACAAGCUCCUUCCUUCCAUAAGGUCCAUUUUCUUUUUGCACAUUGAUAAGCCAUAUUUUGCAUUCUCCUUACCAAUAGCUACAUGUGCCCUAUACAAAAUUGACUUAAGUGGGAAGGUGGUCAAAUUCAAGCUGUCAGAUAUGGCUUGCCAUGUAACCUACUUGACACAUCAUGUGGGGCCAAUUUUUGCAUGAUAUUUUACAUUACUUUUUAUUUCAUUUUUUUGUCUUGAUUUUAGGGUCAAAUAGGUUUCAAAGCGGAGGUUUUCAUUCCACCAAUUUAUAAAAAGGAUCUUUAUUGAAAGACUACCACAGAAACAAAAAGAAGGACCUAUUCAUAAACAGCCAUAAAAUGUAGUUUAAAAAAAAAUCAAAAUAUGAGAAGUGUGCAAGUUCAAUGUACAAGGGGGACAAGUUGGGUUGUGGGGGUUCCACAAUUGGUGAUGUGAGGAAUAUUGUUGGAAUGCUUGUUAUCUGGCAUGGCCACAGCUGCACUUGUUUUGUGGAAUCUGAAUGUUUGUGCCAUCAGAUCUAGUGGAAUAAGAAAGUAUAUUUAUCACACUCAAAGUGAAUUUCAUUCACAAUGAUAAGGUUUUAGGGUUAGGGCGAGUUACUAUUGCAAUGGAGAUGUUUGCAGAUUGUGUAAAUGUAUGAAUAAAUAAAUAAGUAUUUUUUAUGUCAGAGGAUCAGGAUUCUAUGCUGCAUGAUGCAACACAAUUGUAUAACAACAACAUGAGAAGAUGGAAUAAAAAGAAGAACAUGACAUCAAAAAUGUGUUGAAUUGCCUCAAACAACUAAAACCUCAACAUCUCAUUAAUAUUAUUAGGACAAUUUUUUUCUGAAGGAAUAUUAUAUAGUUAUUUAGGGUUUUUUAAUUCAAAUCAUUUAAAUUUUUUUUGAAGUAAAUAAUAAUAUUGUUAUUGUUAAAACAUUUUUUUAAAUUAGUGCUACAGUGAUAAUUUUUUUUAUAGGGGAGAGAAGGAGAUAUUUCCAUCAAAAUUGUUUACAAAAAAUAAAUUAUUGGAUAAAAUUUUUAAGCACACAAAGUAUCUUAUAAAUAUUAUUAAAGAUGAAAAUGAUCAUUAACUUAUUGAUACAACAAUAGAAUAGAUUGAAGUACAAGAAUUUGCAAUUGUGAUUGGUGGUUACUAAGUGGUGAAUUUUAGAUAGAUCUAUAAGAGGAUAAGAUGUAAUAAAAAAAUGAUUCACAUUAGAUAAAUCAACAAAUCAAAACCAAAAAA